UACGUAGGGUGCGAGCGUUAAUCGGAAUUACUGGGCGUAAAGCGUGCGCAGGCGGUGAUGUAAGACAGUUGUGAAAUCCCCGGGCUCAACCUGGGAACUGCAUCUGUGACUGCAUAGCUAGAGUACGGUAGAGGGGGAUGGAAUUCCGCGUGUAGCAGUGAAAUGCGUAGAUAUGCGGAGGAACACCGAUGGCGAAGGCAAUCCCCUGGACCUGUACUGACGCUCAUGCACGAAAGCGUGGGGAGCAAACAGG
rnacentral:rRNA from 1 species